GGUCCGUGCCGCGGAGGCGCCCAGGGUCGAGAGGGGGAGGAGAAGAAAGUCGGUGGCCCGCAGGGUGAGUAGCCGUCGGGCCGCCAUUGAAGAGUCCCACGGUUCUGAAGAAGAGCCGGGGAGAAUCCCUUCAAUGACAGGGACUUGAUAAAGCAGUUGAUUGACGGUUGCAUCCUGCCCGAGGUCGUCCAGAGGAUUGAUCGCGCUGAUCUCGAACAGUGGGUUUGGGACUCCCUAGGGUCCUUUCUCGAGGUAAACAGAUUCACCUUCCCCCUUCUCCUCACUCCUUCGUUUAAUUAGCUUCUCAACCUUUGUUCUGACCUCCUAGCCACCCUUGC
rnacentral:lncRNA from 1 species